rnacentral:rRNA from 1 species
CUACAAUGGCGUAAACAAAGGGAAGCGACCCCGCGAGGGUGAGCAAAUCUCAAAAAUAACGUCUCAGUUCGGAUUGUAGUCUGCAACUCGACUACAUGAAGCUGGAAUCGCUAGUAAUCGCGAAUCAGAAUGUCGCGGUGAAUACGUUCCCGGGUCUUGUACACACCGCCCGUCACACCAUGAGAGUUGAGAAUACCCGAAGCCCAUGUCAAAGUGGUCGAAGGUAGGCUUGAUGAUUGGGGUGAAGUCGUAACAAGGUAAC